AGUGAACGCUGGCGGUAGGCCUAACACAUGCAAGUCGAACGGCAACACAGUAAAAGCUUGCGCUUACGGGUGGCGAGUGGCGGACGGGUGAGGAAUACGUCGGGAUCUACUUUUUCGCUAGUGAAAAGGGAGGGAAACACACCAUACUACCGCAGACUGCCAACGGGUGAAAGCAGGGGAUCGUCGGACCUGAGGCGAUUGAAUGAGCCGAUGUCGGAUUAGGUAGUUGGGGGGGUAAAGGCCCACCAAGGCAACGAUCCGUAGCUGGUCUGAGAGGAUGACCAGCCACACUGGGACUGAGACACGGUCCAGACUCCUACGGGAGGCAGCAGUGGGGAAUAUUGGACAAAGGGCGCAAGCCUGAUCCAGCAAUGCCGCGUGCAGGAAGAAGGCCUUCGGGUUGUAAACUGCUUUUGUACGGAACGAAACGCAGCUGGUUAAUACCCGGGGCUAAUGACGGUACCGAAAGAAUAAGCACCGGCUAACUACGUG
rnacentral:rRNA from 1 species